rnacentral:rRNA from 1 species
AUUGAACGCUGGCGGCAGGCUUAACACAUGCAAGUCGAGCGGGGGAAGGUAGCUUGCUACCGGACCUAGCGGCGGACGGGUGAGUAAUGCUUAGGAAUCUGCCUAUUAGUGGGGGACAACAUCUCGAAAGGGAUGCUAAUACCGCAUACGUCCUACGGGAGAAAGCAGGGGAUCUUCGGACCUUGCGCUAAUAGAUGAGCCUAAGUCGGAUUAGCUAGUUGGUGGGGUAAAGGCCUACCAAGGCGACGAUCUGUAGCGGGUCUGAGAGGAUGAUCCGCCACACGGGGACUGAGACACGGCCCAGACUCCUACGGGAGGGAGCAGUGGGGAAUAUUGGAAAAUGGGGGGAACCCUGAUCAAGCCAUGCCGCGUGUGUGAAGAAGGCCUUAUGGUUGUAAAGCACUUUAAGCGAGGAGGAGGCUACUUUAGUUAAUACCUAGAGAUAGUGGACGUUACUCGCAGAAUAAGCACCGGCUAACUCUGUGCCAGCCGCCGCAGUAA